UACGUAGGGGGCAAGCGUUGUCCGGAAUUAUUGGGCGUAAAGCGCGCGCAGGCGGUCCUUUAAGUCUGAUGUGAAAGCCCACGGCUCAACCGUGGAGGGUCAUUGGAAACUGGGGGGCUUGAGUGCAGCAGAGGAAAGCGGAAUUCCACGUGUAGCGGUGAAAUGCGUAGAGAUGUGGAGGAACACCAGUGGCGAAGGCGGCUUUCUGGUCUGUAACUGACGCUGAGGCGCGAAAGCGUGGGGAGCAAACAGG
rnacentral:rRNA from 1 species